UCUUCCGCAAUGGGCGAAAGCCUGACGGAGCAACGCCGCGUGAGUGAUGAAGGUCUUCGGAUCGUAAAACUCUGUUAUUAGGGAAGCACAAAUGUGUAAGUAACUGUGCACGUCUUGACGGUACCUAAUCAGAAAGCCACGACUAACUACGUGCCAGCAGCCGCGGUAAUACGUAGGUGGCAAGCGUUAUCCGGAAUUAUUGGGCGUAAAGCGCGCGUAGGCGGUUUCUUAAGUCUGAUGUGAAAGCCCACGGCUCAACCGUGGAGGGUCAUUGGAAACUGGGAAACUUGAGUGCAGAAGAGGAAAGUGGAAUUCCAUGUGUAGCGGUGAAAUGCGCAGAGAUAUGGAGGAACACCAGUGGCGAAGGCGACUUUCUGGUCUGUAACUGACGCUGAUGUGCGAAAGCGUGGGGAUCAAACAGGA
rnacentral:rRNA from 1 species